rnacentral:rRNA from 1 species
UAGGGAAUCUUCCGCAAUGGGCGAAAGCCUGACGGAGCAACGCCGCGAGAGUGAUGAAGGUCUUCGGAUCGUAAAACUCUGUUAUUAGGGAAGAACAAAUGUGUAAGUAACUAUGCACGUCUUGACGGUACCUAAUCAGAAAGCCACGGCUAACUACGUGCCAGCAGCCGCGGUAAUACGUAGGUGGCAAGCGUUAUCCGGAAUUAUUGGGCGUAAAGCGCGCGUAGGCGGUUUUUUAAGGCUGAUGUGAAAGCCCACGGCUCAACCGUGGAGGGUCAUUGGAAACUGGAAAACUUGAGUGCAGAAGAGGAAAGUGGAAUUCCAGGUGUAGCGGUGAAAUGCGCAGAGAUAUGGAGGAACACCAGUGGCGAAGGCGACUUUCUAGUCUGUAACUGACGCUGAUGUGCGAAAGCGUGGGGAUCAAACAGG